rnacentral:lncRNA from 10 species
GACGGCGCAGCAGAGCCCGAGGAGGCCCCACCCUCCGUGCGCUCGUUGGCUGGCGAGGGAGACGAGCCUGGGCGCCUUGGGCACGCCCAUUGGCUCCGACGGCCGUCCUUCAGGGCGCCCCCUCGGUGGGGUGGCCGAAGAGCUGUCCGUCAGGUGCGGGCCACACCCGCGGCCCUGCAGUUCCACUCCCGCCUGCCAGCCCUCAACUCCCGGUCGGGUUGUCUCCCCGCCGGUCUCCCGCCCCCAGCUACCGGGUCCGCCAGGGUCAGGAGCCCGAGAUUCGCCGCCCGUCGUAGCGGCCCGCUUCGGCCCCUCGGGGCCCGGGGCUCUCCGGGACCUACACAGCCCGGGAGACUCCGGCGGGGCUGCCUGCCCUCGCCCGAGCCCGGGGGCCCAAGCUGCGGCAGCGGCUCCCAACGCCUCUGCUCGAGGAGAGCGGCGGCCUGGAUGCCCCAGCGCCCUCCCUGUCCAGUUCCUUGAAGGCCCCCAAGAGGGGCGAGGCCGGGGAGGUGCUGGAGCGGGGCCAAGUGAGCUUUCGGGGCCGCGGUUGAACUGGAGUCUUGAGUGCGCUGCGGUCAGUGGAGGCCCUUCCACCCUCGCCGCGCCCCGUGGGGAAUAGUCCCCCACCUCCCGCCAUGGCUGCAGCAGGAGGAGACGACGUCCUCCAUUUUGUCGGGACAACUGUGGGAACUUGGGACCCCUCAAAACCAAACCCCGUGGGGCCAGGACUUGUCCCGGAAGCCCCGACUGGGCUCUGCCAUUCGGACAAGGGAACAGCCCCAGCUGCCGGCGUCUGCGUCCGCGGGGCAGUACUGGUCGGGCGCGACGGUGGAGACACCCAGACGCAGCUCCCCGCCUCCAUCAACCAAGAUGGAGGGAGCUGCAGGCUCCCUUGGAGCUGGGCUCUCGCGGGUUGGAGGGGCUGAGGCCUGCCCUGGGGCGUCCCUGGGCGCCGCCGUCCUGUGCUAGCAGCCCGGGGCGCUGGCCCUGCCUAGGCCUUUUUACUGCCUGCCACCGUCUCCUGGUCCGGAAUGGUUGAUGGAGACUCCAUGGAGGCUCCCUCCACAGCCCGCUCUAUCGCGGGGCGCACCCGCUGCGGCCCCUGCGGGGAGCAGAAUCAGGGACAGAUGGCGCCCGGUGAGGGCGGGCCCCACAGGCCACCUCCACGAGGGGUCUUCUCUUUUGUUCCUCGUCUACACCUACGUCUUCGGCGGAUGUCAUGGUGCUGAACCAUUUCCCGGACUCCACGUAAAGAUGGAAGCGAUUCCGCUUUCGUCUCGCCCUGGCGGUUCUUAGUGGGAUUACAAUUGAGGAUGUUAGUUUGGAUGAAAGUUGGUGAAAUACUUACCUUAUGUCUGGAAAUACAGAUAAUGUGAUUUUUAAAAAACACAUUGAGCCCCGUUUUACUUCUGUGGUAUGGUAAAGGCACAGGUUUAUUCAAUGAAAAUCAGACGUUAACCAUCUAAUGCAGGGGUGGCCAAUCUUUUGGCUUCCCGGGGCCACAUUGGAAGAAUUGGCUUGGGCCACACAUAAAAUACGCUAACAGUAACAAUAGCUGAUGAGCUAAAACAAACGAAAAAACCAAAACGCCAAAAAAAUCUCAUAACGUUUUAAGAAAAUUUACAAAUAUGUGUUGGGCUGCAUUCAAAGCCGUCCUGGGCCGCAUGCAACCCCCAAGGGCUGCAGGUUGGACAAGCUUGAUCUAAGACAAAAGCAUGUUCACGGAUUGAUGAGAGUUCUGUGUAAGCCUUUGCAUAUUGCAUAGUGCUGUAUGUCAUGGAUAUGCCUAAUAUCACCUACAUUUUUUAGGUCCUCAGUUACUCUUUGGAAAUAAGUGAAUUACAUGUAAUGUCAUCAUUUUAAUGACUGCUGUAAAUUACAAGCACUGACUACCCUGAGUUCGUGGAGAAGGGCUCCAUAGAGAAAAUUUGAAGGUCUGACAGAAACUUUAAAUGGCUUUCAGACAUGUGAUGCUUUCCUUGAUGUUAUGACAUAGCAAGAAGGCCCAUGACAGAUGCCAGC